CCUGCCUUCAAUCUUUCCCAGCAUCAGGGGCUUUUCCAGUGAGUCAAUUCUUUGCAUCAGGAGCUUCAGAGCUUGUAGCUGAGAUAGAGGACUUCAUGGACAGGGAGGCCUGUUCAGAAAGCAGUGUCCCAUUUCUCGCCUUGGCUUUAAGGUAACUCAAAAACUCUGCCUUCUGCACAUAAACUGCUUUUGGGGGACUCUGGUGAAAAGUGUCUGCCUGAGUGUCUUUCUCUUCACUGGCUAACUGGGCACAGACAUCAACUUUCCAUAACACAUUUCCUCCCAGACUGCCUACCUCUCUCUCCCCAACUCGCUGAUGGAUGAACCAAGAGUAACAUCUCUAGUAUUUCUGUAGGAUCAAAAGUUGCUUUAGCCUAUGACAGAGUCCUCUGUGUCUCAACCCCUUUCUGGAUAAUUAAGGCUUCUGUCUUCAGAGGUUACUGGCCCCUGGACCUCAGAAGUUAAAGAGUUUGUAUGCUCUUUCCAUCAAUGGGUUCAGAGUGACUUACUGAAUGUGAGAUGCCUCAAGAUGUAGAAGGAUGGUAUUGUGACAAAUGGCAAGCAGAAUUACAAAUGAAGUUGACAGGCUAAAACACAGGAAAAGAAUGUUAACAGAAUUUCAUUUAUUCCUAUAAAAUUUGAAGUUCUACUCCUAGGUUUAAAAAAUCUAUAAUAUGCAUAUAUGAUAAAGGGAAUAUGGUCUAACAGUAUUUUAUGGGAAAAGAUUUGAGGAUGUUAACAUUCUAGGGACCAUUUGGAGCACUGGAGAUGUUUGGGGAGCAACCCUGACUUAGACAUUAUCAAUAGUAACAUGUUGCCUUGUAAGAAUUUCUAUUUCCCAGGUUGGUUACAUGAAGAAUUCAGGCACCCUAUUUUGAAAGAAAUGCUCAUGAAUUGGAUGGAAAGACUGGGAGAAAGGGAGCCAGAAUGUAAGGACUGGAAACCACCUCCUUUGAGAAAGAAACCAAGAAGCUAAAUGUUUGCCCUGAGGAGUGAAGGCUUGUAGGAGACAAAGCUAUCUUCACAUGUUCAAAGUGUCAUCAUGAGAAAGAGAAUUGACUUGCUUUACGUAGAUUGUAUUCUGGAAGACAUAACUAUCAACCCAAGAAAGUCGGUCUUGGCCCAGUUAAAAGCAAUGAUUUCAGUAGGUCAGCACAGAAAAGUCAUCUCUAGAACUUCUUCCCAUUGGCCUCUCAUGAGGUCCUUCUUCCAUGGCACUAAGCCUGUCCCCCCAUGGCCUCCAGCAGAAGGACUGUAUCUCUGGGCAUUGAGUCCUGCCUUCCCACUCAGUUCUUUUCCAAGAUGCUCAUGGGGCAGUGAGGAAGAAGGAGAGGCUCUGGACACCUGGAAUGGAGAUGAUGCUAUGGAUAGGACUGAACUCAGGCUCUCCCCAGAGUCAGUACGGUGAGGGGACGUCUGUCUCCCUGCUUCAUUGUGCUUAGUUAUGCCAUAAAAUGAAGGAAGGGCAAGAUGUUGUUUAGUGUGUCUUGAAGAAGUAGCUGUGAAUAAAGUUGAAUGGCUUAAAGAGUCGCUUCUGUAGUUAGAACAUGGCGUGUUAUGUGUAUAUGAAAGUGAACAAUUUCAACUCCAACAUUGAGAAUCUCAUGGAAUGGCAAAUAAAUUUGCUGAAAACUGAUCCGUCUGAUAAUACUGUAGCUACAUGAGUGCAUUCAUUAAAUAAACAUUGAUCGAGUA